GACGAACGCUGGCGGCGUGCUUAACACAUGCAAGUCGAACGCUGAAGCUUGGUGCUUGCACUGGGUGGAUGAGUGGCGAACGGGUGAGAAAUACGUGAGUAACCUGCCCUUGACUCUGGGAUAAGCCUGGGAAACUGGGUCUAAUACUGGAUACGACAUGUCACCGCAUGGUGGUGUGUGGAAAGGGUUUUACUGGUUUUGGAUGGGCUCACGGCCUAUCAGCUUGUUGGUGGGGUAAUGGCUCACCAAGGCGACGACGGGUAGCCGGCCUGAGAGGGUGACCGGCCACACUGGGACUGAGACACGGCCCAGACUCCUACGGGAGGCAGCAGUGGGGAAUAUUGCACAAUGGGCGGAAGCCUGAUGCAGCGACGCCGCGUGAGGGAUGACGGCCUUCGGGUUGUAAACCUCUUUCAGCACGGAAGAAGCGAAAGUGACGGUACGUGCAGAAGAAGCGCCGGCUAACUACGUG
rnacentral:rRNA from 1 species